CUACGGGGUGCACCAGUGGGGAAUAUUGCACAAUGGGGGAAACCCCGAUGCAGCAACGCCGCGUGGAGGAUGACGCAUUUCGGUGUGUAAACUCCUUUUAUAUAGGAAGAUAAUGACGGUACUAUAUGAAUAAGCACCGGCUAACUCCGUGCCAGCAGCCGCGGUAAUACGGAGGGUGCAAGCGUUACUCGGAAUCACUGGGCGUAAAGCGCGCGCAGGCGGCCUUUUAAGUUGGAUGUGAAAGCCUACGGCUCAACCGUAGAACUGCAUCCAAAACUACUAGGCUAGAGUCUGGGAGGGGAAGAUGGAAUUAGUUGUGUAGGGGUAAAAUCCGUAGAGAUAACUAGGAAUACCAAAAGCGAAGGCAAUCUUCUGGAACAGUACUGACGCUGAGGCGCGAAAGCGUGGGGAGCAAACAGGAUUAGAUACCCCGGUAGUC
rnacentral:rRNA from 1 species